UGGUGGAGUGAUUUGUCUGGUUAAUUCCGUUAACGAACGAGACCUUAACUUACUAAAUAGAUACGCUGUUCUCGAACGGCGGCAAUCUUCUUAGAGGGACUAUUGGUGUUUAACCAAUGGAAGUUUGAGGCAAUAACA
rnacentral:rRNA from 1 species